AUAUUCAAUUGUUUUGAUUCACAGACCAAGAUAAAGAACAUCCUGCUGAUUUACAGACACUUGGCUUGUAUGUGCUGCUACUUGUGAUUAAGAACUGACUUCAAAUGAUAGCAAGAGGAUGAUUUAAGCAUACAUAAGUAAACUGGAAGAACAGAUGAAGUCCAAAAUGCUAAAGCAACAGACAUCCCAGACACUUGGCUUGUAUGUGCUGCUACUUGUGAUUAAGAACUGACUUCAAAUGAUAGCAAGAGGAUGAUUUAAGCAUACAUAACUAAACUGGAAGAACAGAUGAAGUCCAAAACGCUAAAGCAA